rnacentral:rRNA from 1 species
CUUUAUUGGAGAGUUUGAUCCUGGCUCAGGACGAACGCUGGCGGCGUGCCUAAU